UAAAUGAAUUGGCAAGCUUGGAUUGAGGAUUUUAGGAAGAAAGACAAAUAUCUAUAUGAAUAUGAUCAGAUGAAUUGGCAAGCUUGAGUUAGGUUCAGAACGAACGAAAAAUAGACAAUGGAAUGAUCAUAUGGAAUUUGCAGGCCCGGCUGAAGAGGGGAGUUGUUGAGGAAUUAUGGUAUUAUUCUCAUGCCUAGGACGUGUUGGAUAAUAUGCCCACGAAGGAACGUGCAUCCCACCUGAUGUGUUGCAUCAGCUCUAUGAUUUGCCAAGCAAAAGCAAUCAAUCAACAAGGUCAGUUUGUGAAUGUUUGUCCUACACGAGUCAUAGCUAGUGAACACAUUUUGAGAUUCCUUCACUAAAUAUGUAUUGUUUUGAUUCAAUAUAGUGAGCACAAGCCCAGUGUUUAUUUAAUCAAUUACAAUUAGUUUUUCUAGCUACUAACUUUUUUGCAAUUUUCUAAAUAAAAAUAUACGUGACAGAAUCUGAUUAUUUAUUGUUGAAUGAACGAUGUGGUAGAACAAAGGAAUUGUAGAAUUUCUUGAGUUUUAGACAUAAAACAGAGUCAGGCCAUAGAACGCAUGUAUGAAGAAAUUAUCAUCUUCCGAUGAUUGAAAAUUAUCAUCACAUUUAUAGUAAUGAUGCUGUGCUUUAUUCAAAAUUAUUUCUUCCAAUAGAGAAGCAAUCAAUAAUGGUAUUAAUUCUUGAACCAGUGGAAAGCAAUUAAUUUUCUUCAUUUGUUUUCUUGCUUGGCUGUGAAACAGCCCAUUUGCGGCUGAACACAGAAUCUGUUUUUUGUUUCUUUGUUGUUUUUUGUGAAUAUUUGGCUUAAUUUACAAUUCAUGGCAUGUCUGAAAAUGGGUCGAUGAAUCUGUUAAAAUAUGGACUCAGAUCUAAAUCAGAUUUAUCCAUGAUACAAUCAAGAGGUGUUAAGAGUGCAAUUUAUGCACUAGUUUUGCAUUGUUUACUUCCCUUAAUAUCGAUAUUUUGCACUUAAUAAUAGUGAUUUACUUGUGUUUUACUUUUGUAGGUACAAUUCUAUUGAUUGGUGAUAAAAUUGAGCUACAAGAUGAUGUUUAAGGAUGAUUGUUCUCUUGGAGAAAUUAUGAGCGUCAGAAGAACUUUGUUGAUAAGGCGUGGGCGCGUGCUGUCAACUACGGACCUGUAGUUUUUAGUUUAACGUGUUUUGUAAUUUUGGUUAUUUUUGUAAUUACGAAUUUAAUAUUUCAGAUAUUAGUAUUUUAUUUUAAAUAGAAUUCUAGAGGAGAAGAGAGAGAGAGAGUAUUUAAGGGAGGAAUCUAUUGUGAAAAAGAGGGACUUUUGGGGAGAAAAGGGAGAAACCCUAGAUCUAAAUUUUUCUCUUCUCUCUAUGAAGAACUAAACCUAUUAUUCUGGUUGAAGGUUAAUGAAGCUUUGAUUCAUCACUACUGUGAGAUCUUUCUUAUGCUUUAACUGCUUUAUUAUUUUUUGGGUAUUUUUUUAUUCUCUGAAUUAUUAUCAUGAUUAUGCUUGUUAAUUAGAUAAUUGGCCACUAUUUAAUUAUCAACUUAAUCUAUUGUCAAUUAAAGGAUUCAUCGUAUGAAGAUUUUAAUGUUUGUGACAAAUAACAUAGCAGAGAGUUGUGUUGUGAGAAUAAACAAUCUAAUUUAAAUGAACCAUCGUAUGUGUUUGUAGAUUAGGAUUUGGGUCUCUCUGGUUUUUCAGGCUUUCAAUUAAUUAAAUCCUAUGAUCGUAUCUAGGGUUGUCUAUUGAUUAGGGAAAUAACCAACGGUCGUACCUUGGUUAUCGACUAGUUAAGGAGAGAUUGGCUAUUAGAGGGUCUCAGUAGCUAUAAUCAGUCUAUUCAUAAGUAGUAAUAAUUUAUAUUUGAAUCAAUGAUCAGUAGUCGAAUUAAGCUGAGUUAAUUCCUUCAACCAGAGCUUUCUCCAAUUUGAAUUACAACUUUAAUUUGCAUUCUUGUUAUUUUAAUUUGAUUUUUAUUAUUGUCAACAAUUCCCCCAUUUUAUGUUUCACAUUUUAAAAGGAUUUAAAUAAUUACCGAUCUCUGUGGACACGACCCUGCUCAAUCACUAUACACAAUUUAUUUAGAGUAUGUAUUUAUUUUUGCUGGCUUCAACAACCAUCAAAGUUUGGCGCUGUUGCCGGGGAUUGGUGUCAUUUAUUUAAUCCUUUUUACGUUUUACUUGGUGUAUGGUUCGUUCUUCUCGUACAGGUACACUUUCGUUUGAUCCUGAAAUUGAGAAGACAGCUUGCCAGCUGAGACAGCGGAUGAAGCGAGCUAAGCAACGAUCCUCAUCGCCUUUGCUUUCUGAAAUAGAUACGGUGCCUGAUUUAGUUGAAUCAUCUAGCGAUUCAAAAGAAAAAGUGAUGGAUAGAGCUGCACAUGUAGAAAGAACUCUUAGAGAGUUAGCUAAACCAGACUUGAAUUAGCAACCACUCUGCAUUCAAUAUGUAGACUUGGAGGUAAAUUUUGAAUUAAAGUCUGGUCUUAUUCAUUUAUUACCCAAGUUUCAUGGUUUUGUAGGUGAAGAUCCUCAUAAACAUCUCAAGGAGUUUCAUGUUGUGUGUUCAAGUAUGAGGCCACAACAUGGAAUUAGAUGGACUAGCUAAAGACUGGUUGUACUACUUGCCUCCUGGAUCGAUUACAACAUGGAAUGGUUUGGAGAAGCAGUUCCUUGAGAAAUACUUUCCUGCUUCAAGAGCUGCCAACAUCAGAAAAGACAUUUGUGGGAUCAGACAACUUCCUGGGGAGACUUUAUAUGAGUAUUGGGAGCGAUUUAAACAAUUGUGUGCCAGCUGUCCUCAACAUCAGAUUUCUGAUCAACUUCUUAUUCAAUAUUUUUAUGAAGGACUAUCAUUAAUGGAUAGGAGUAUGAUAGAUGCUGCUAGUGGAGGCGUGUUGGUGAACAAGACCCCUACUCAAGCAAGGGAGUUGAUCUCAAAUAUGGCUGCCAAUGCACAACAAUUUGGCAGUAGGCAAGAUUCCACUUCAAAAACGGUGAAUGAGGUAAAUAUUUCUUCUGUUGAACAACGUUUAGAUAAACUUACUUCUCUUGUGGAAAAGUUUGUUGUAGGUAAUGUGCAACAAGUGAAGACUUGUGGCAUUUGUUACAAUAUGGGUCAUUCAACUGAUAUGUGUCCUACACUUCAAGAAAAACCCGUUGAACAAGCAAUGCAGUUGGAGGAUUUCCAGGCAUGCCUCAGAGGAGGUUUUCUUCACAAUCUGAGGUGAAUCCAAAGUAAACAUUAGUGCUGUCAUCCUUAGAAGUGGGAAGGAGUUGCAAGAGCCUAGUGAGAAAGUGACAAAGCAUGUAGAAGAUGAGCUUGAAAAGAAUGAAUUGAUGCCUAAAUCUCAAGAUGCGCAACCCACCAAAGCAAAACCCCUACCUAUUGUGAUACCUCCUCCUUUUCCAAGCCGGUUUGCAAAAUCCAAGAAGGAGGAACAAGAGAAAGACAUCCUUGAGACAUUUCGCAAGGUUGAGGUAAACAUUCCUUUAUUAGAUGCUAUAAAACAAAUACCUCGAUAUACUAAAGUCCUUAAGGAACUGUGCACCUCCAAGAGAAAAUUAAGAGGAGAUGAAAAAGUUCACAUGGGGGAGAAUGUUUCAGCAGUUCUCCAAAAGAAACUACUUCAUAAGUGUAAGGAUCCAGGUAUGUUUACUAUCCCUUGUAAAAUUGGUAGUGUUAGAGUUGAAAAGGCUAUGUUAGAUCUAAGAGCUUCUAUUAAUGUCAUGCCUCGUUCCAUUUAUUCAUCUUUGAAUGUUGGUCCAUUAAAAGAAACUGGCGUGAUAAUUCAACUAACUGAUAGGUCUAAUGCAUAUCCUGAUGGAGUAUUAGAAGAUGUCUUAGUAUAAGUUAAUGAGUUGGUUUUUCCUGUCUUUUUUUAUGUAUUUGAUAUGGAAGAGGAUGACUCCUCUAAUUCUGUCCCAAUUUUGCUAGGAAGACCAUUUCUUAAGACUGCUAAGACUAAAAUGGAUGUACAUAAAGGGACUCUCACUAUGGAGUUUGAUGGAGAGGUUAUAGAAUUCAAUAUGAAUGAUGCCAUGAAAUAUCCUAGUGAGGAACAUUCGGUAUUUUCUGUGGAUGUUAUUAACCCUAUAGUGCAGGAAGUUUUUUAUAAGGAAAAAACGAAGACAUUUCAUGAUAGAAUGAUUUUGAGAAAGGAGUUCUCUGUUGGUCAAAAAGUUCUUCUUUUUCAUUCUAAGCUUAAACUUUUUCCGGGUAAAUUACGUUCUUGCUGGGUUGGACCUUUUAUUGUUACUAAUGUUUUUCCUCAUGGUGCAGUUGAGAUUCGGAGUCCGACCUCUGACAAAGUUUUUAAGGUUAAUGAUCAUCGCUUAAAACCUUUUUAUGAAGGUUUUUGAUGUAGCUGAAGUUUAAUGUUCAAAAUAUUCCGUUGAUUCUAGAGAAUACCGAAAUAAAAGAACAACUAAAUUCACGUUGAUUCAAAAGAAUACCGCGAACUUAGGGAUUUAAGACUCGUUGAUUCCGCAGAAUACCGAGAAUUAACUGUUCAAAUACUCACAAAGAGAUUUGAAAAUUGAAAUAUUAUUGAACUCAAAAUUAUGCCUGUAAAAACUACAAAACACACUUAUUUAUACUAAGUAAGACUUGUCCUAAUAUGAUUAGAAAACCUAUUUUAAUAAGACUUAUACCGAAAUUAGAAAUAUUACCCAAAUAAGCAAUACCUAAACAAUAAGACUCUAAAUAGGAAACCAAAUUAAACUAGAAUACAAAUUAAUUAAAAUAUUCCUAAAUAUUAUACAUUUAACUCUAAUUUGGAUUUCUUCAAUUUCUUGCUCUGCAUCAUUCCCGCCAAGCUGGAGAAAGUUCGUCCUUGAAUUUUGUAUGUUGUAGUCUUCAAGAACAUCUUCAUGUGCACAAGGAUUAAUUUUUAAAACAGAGCUUUGACAUAGACGAUGAACUUUAAAUUUUCCAACUUUUGUAAUAACGUCCAUCCAAUCACUCCAAUAGCGUAAAAUAAAUUCUUCUAUCAACAACUUCUCCAAUAAUGUCUUCUCGUAUUGUUCGUAUCGAACAUCAACAUAGUUGAGGAAAAACGAUUUCUUCUCAUAAUCCAUUAAUUGUUGAAAAAUAUCACAACUUUUUUUGUCUUCUUUUGGCAAAUCAAGAGAACAAUAAGAGAUUGUAUCAACAACUAUCUCUCUUUCCUCCACAAGAUCAAAAGAUGGAUGAACAAUUACCUCUUCUCGUCCCACAAUAUCAAGAUACUCAUCAAAUUUCGGCAAUUGAUCCAAAUCAAUGUCUUUGUGUUGAGAAUUUGUUGUAGACAUGAAUGGCCAAUUAAUAUUCUCCUCGGAAGGAAUAAUAUUGUCGAGGGAAACCAAGUUACCAUUUUCCUCAUUAUCCUCACAACAAAUAUCAUCAUGAACAACUUCAUCAAAUCCAUAUGCCUGCUUUAUGUGUAAAGAUUUUAUAUCUUGAAGUUUCUCUAAAUCUUGAGAAAUCAAAAGUAAAAUCCUCAACAUUCUAUUUAAAACUUCUUUCAAGACAAAAUCUUCGCGGCGAUGUUGUCGUUUCAUGAAUCAAUUUUUUUCUUCUUUUUUGUUUUCUAUCUCUUUUUUUUUUAAAUAAUGAAGCUAAACAGAAAAAAACAAAAAUGAGAAAAGAAAUGUUUGGUGGUAGAUGGGAUUAGAUAAGUAAUACCAGGUUUUGGCUCUGAUACCAAACUGAUGCAGCAGAAGUUUAAUGUUCAAAAUAUUCCGUUGAUUCUAGAGAAUACCAGAAUAAAAGAACAACUAAAUUCACGUUGAUUCAAAAGAAUACCGCGAACUUAGGGAUUUAAGACUCGUUGAUUCCGCAGAAUACCGAGAAUUAACUGUUCAAAUACUCACAAAGAGAUUUGAAAAUUGAAAUAUUAUUGAACUCAAAAUUAUGCCUGUAAAAGCUACAAAACACACUUAUUUAUACUAAGUAAGACUUAUCCUAAUAUGAUUAGAAAACCUAUUUUAAUAAGACUUAUACCUAAAUUAGAAAUAUUACCCAAAUAAGCAAUACCUAAACAAUAAGACUCUAAAUAGGAAACCAAAUUAAACUAGAAUACAAAUUAAUUAAAAUAUUCCUAAAUAUUAUAUAUUUAGCUCUAAUUUGGAUUUCUUCAAUUUCUUGCUCUACAUAAGUUUUUCAGUGAAUAUUGUGGAGGAUGUGGCUCUCGAGAGUCCCAAUUACGGAGAUUGAUGCAUAAAUGUGUCUAGCCAAAGACAUAAAACAGAGGCGCUUUUUGGGAGGCAACCCAAAUGAUUUAUUUAUUUUGGUUUUUGUUAUAUCUUCUUUUAAUUUUGAUUCAGAUUUUUUUUAAAAAAUAAUGUGUUUGCUUAUUUUGGCCAGAAGAAAAUUUUUGAUAAGGCGUGCCCACGUCUUAACUAAUAAGUACUUCUGUGAUUUUUAAAGUAAAAUGGUUUUAAGGCGUGCCCACGUGCUUAUUAGAAAAGUACUUCUGAAAUUUUUUUUGUGUCUUAAAGUGAUUCAUCAUUAAAAAAAAAAAUAUUUAUUUAUUUGAAAAUGAAAAAAAUGAAAAAAAAGGUUUUUUUCCUUUCUUUUCUUUCUUAUAUAUAUAUAUAUAUUUGAAAAAAAAACAAAAAAAAUUACUGUUUACAAAAUCCCUAAUUCACAGAAUUGGUUUUCUUCUCCAGCCUUCACCGAGCAGCCACGCAGCACCAGCAAUCCACCAUCGCGCACCAGCCCACGCAGCAGCAGCAGCAGCCGUGAGCGCAACCAGCACCAUCUCGCGCGCUCGCAGAUCCAGCCUUCACCGAGCAGCCACGCAGCAACCCACACUCGCAGAUCCAGCCUUUACCUAGCAGCACGCAGAACCAGCAUCAGCCCAGCUCUCGUGUGCAAUCAACCCUAGCGCACAGAUCCAGCAGCCCGCGCGCGCAGCAGAAUCAGUCCCAGCCCGCACACGCAACGCAACUAGCGUCACUAGCGCAGCAGAACCAGGCCCAGCAGCGCGCAUCAGAAUCAGGCCCAGCGCACAGCAUCCCGCACGCAACCAGCAUCACCAGCUCACAACCAGCAAUCCACCAUCGCGCCAAACUCCAACUGAGCAGCAAUCGUCCGCAACCAACCUACGCCCUGUAUUCCAACCAGGUGAAUCGAAAUUCGUGAGUGAAAUUAUUGUAACAAUGCCAAAGAGGAAAGCAUCAACUUCCAAGUCAUCUAAAAAGACACCUGGCGCAAAGAAAUCCAAGAUUGCCGCUCCCACUACGGUUCCAUGGAACACAGUUUCAAAUUCACGCCAAGCCGUGAGACAAAGAUCGAAACAUGGAAAAGGCAUGAGUGUUUUGCCACUUGCGGAAUCCAAUCUCGGAGGGUGCCUCGCAUUCACGACUCAACAAGAGAAAGAAAGGUAUAAAGAUAUUUCCAAGCGAAAAAUACUUCCAGCUAAGUAUAUUCAUUACCCGACUCUUGAAAAAUUGAAUAUUAAGGAUAAUUUUGAUUCUUUGAUAGAUAAGAUUGGUUUGCGUAAGUUUGUUGAUGUUGAUUGUUUGGGUUAUGUUGAGUUGAUUAGGGAGUUCUAUGCUACUUUUCAAUUUAAUAUACCGAAUGAUUUUACUUUGCAUAUCCCGGAUGUUAUAAAGUUUAGGUUAAUGGAACGAAAUUUUUCACACUCUAUCACGAAUUUUAACCUAGCUUUAGGAUUCAUUGAUGAUGAUUAUUCUUCUAGUGAUGCAUAUUUAGGAACAACUUGUGACUUUAGCGAAAAUUUUGAGCCUUAUGGUCUUUGGCGUAAUUUAUUUGUUGAUCACAAUGCCUAUGACCCGAGUAAAUCAAAGAGUUCUUUCUUACGUGAUCCUGUUUUGAAAUACGUGCAUCGAUUCUUGGCAUAUAAUUUUUUAGGAAAGAAAGAUCACUUAGGAGUUGGCUGGUUCGCGCUGCGUUACAGGGGCUGUGUGACGCUGGUUGCUUUGCUGGGGAUUGCGUUGCGCGUGGGACUGAUUGUGCGGGGCGCGCGGGCUGCUGGUUGCAUUACGUUGCGCGCGGCUGCUGCUGCUGCGCGAUGGUGACGACUGGAUUGAUUUGAGCUGCGCGCGGGAGCUGGAGUCGAGGAUCUGCGUUGCAGGGCGUGUUCGUCUACUGCUGCUCGGCUGCGUUGCGUGCGCGGGACUGAUGCGCUACGCCAUGGUGAUGGCUGGGGCUUGCUGCGCGCGGGCUGGUGGUUGCAGGUGGGACUGAUGCGGCUACUGCUGGUGAAAACGAUAAUCAACAGUGAAUUUUUUUUUUUGAAUUAGGGAUUUGUGAACAGUGAUUCCAAUCGUACCUAAAAGCUUAAGCUGUUAGGAGGGGCGCUACUUUAUACUUAAGUAGGUAAUCCGCCUAACACCAGGUAACGCCUUCACGUUAAUGCCACAUCACCCACAUGGAUGUUGGUAGAGUCACCACCGUGGUGGUGCGGGCCCCAGUUACAGUGACUGGGAUAUAUAUAUUAAGCCUAUUCCUCCCCCGCGGCUCGAACCCUGGCUGGCUCUGAUACCAUCUUAAGGCGCUUACCAAUCGUACCUAAAAGCUUAAGCUGUUAGGAGGGGCGCUACUUUAUACUUAAGUAGGCAAUCCGCCCAACACCAGGUAACGCCUUCAAGUUAAUGCCACAUCACCCACAUGGAUGUUGGUAGAGUCACCACCGUGGUGGUGCGGGCCCCAGUUACAGUGACUGGGAUAUAUAUAUUAAGCCCAUUCCUCCCCCGCGGCUCGAACCCUGGCUGGCUCUGAUACCAUCUUAAGGCGCUUACCAAUCGUACCUAAAAGCUUAAGCUGUUAGGAGGGGCGCUACUUUAUACUUAAGUAGGCAAUCCGCCCAACACCAGGUAACGCCUUCACGUUAAUGCCACAUCACCCACAUGGAUGUUGGUAGAGUCACCACCGUGGUGGUGUGGGCCCCAGUUACAAUGACUGGGAUAUAUAUAUUAAGGGCUCAGCAUCAAGCUUUGCAAAAUUUAAGCUUAAGCUUUUAGGUACGAUUGGUAAAAAGUCUUUAAAUGUUUGAAAUGUUGAUCGAUGGUUUGAGAGAAAAUCAAGACAUCAUCAAUAUUUGCCAAAAUCCUGACUUCAUGUCAAAUUUUGAAAAUAUGAAUGCAGAAUGCAGUUUUUGAAGCAAAUCCUUUUUAUUUAUUAUUUUAUAUAUAUAUAUAAAAGAAAGAAAAUAAGGAAAAAAAUAAUUAUUUUUUUUUUAGUGAUGAAUCACUUUUAGACACUAAAAAUUUCAAAAGUACCUUUUUAAUAAGCACGUGGGCACGCCUUAAAACUAUUUUACUUUAAAAAUUUCAGAAGUAUUUAUUAGUUAAGACGUAGGCACGCCUUAUUAAAAAUUUUCUUCUGACCAAAAUAAGCAAACACAUUAUUUAAUUUUUUUUUAUUCGAAUCAAAACUAAAAGAAGAUAAAACAAAAACCAAAAUAAACAAAUCACUUGGGUUGCCUCCCAAAAAGCGCCUUUGUUUUAUGUCUUUGGCUAGACACAUUUAUGCAUCAAUCUCCAUAAAUAGGACUCUCGAGAGCCAUUUCCUCCACAAUAUUCACCGAAAAACCUUCAUAAAAAGGUUUUAAACGAUGACCAUUAACCUUAAAGACUUUAUCAGAGGUUGGACUCCGAAUCUCAACUGCACCAUGAGAAAAAACAUUAGUAACAAUAAAAGGUCCUACCCAACGAGAACGUAAUUUACCAGGAAAAAAUUUAAGUUUAGAAUGAAAAAGAAGAACUUUUUGACUAACAGAGAACUCCUUUCUCAAAAUCAUUCUGUCAUGAAAUGUCUUCGUCUUUUCCUUGUAAAAUCGCGAACUCUCAUAGGAUUCAUUUCUAAUCUCCUCCAACUCUUGCAGCUGCAACUUCCUCUGCUUUCCCGCUUCAUCCAUCCGCAUAUUGCAUUGCUUAACCGCCCAGUAUGCUCUGUGCUCAAGUUCUACAGGUAAAUGACAAGGCUUACCAAAUACUAAACGAUAAGGAGACAUACCUAUGGGAGUUUUGUAAGCGGUGCAAUUCUCCCAUAAUGCAUCAUCUAAUCGCAAACUCCAAUCCUUUUGAUUUGGACUAACUGUCUUUUCAAGAAUAGACUUGAUUUCUCUGUUUGAUAUCUCAGCUUGUCCACUUGUCUGUGGAUGAUAGGCGGUAGACACUUGGUGGGUAACAUGAUAUCUUUUGAACAAAGCUUCCACCACUCGAUUACAGAAAUGAGUGCCUCUAUCACUUAUCAUCGCUCUUGGUACACCAAACCUGGCAAAAAUAUUAGACUUGACAAAAUCUACAACAACUUUAGCAUUGUCAGUCCGGGUGGCCUUAGCCUCUACCCACUUAGAAACGUAAUCCACUGCUAAAAGAAUGUAAGCAUUGCCAAAAGAUGAGGGAAAAUGUCCCAUAAAAUCAAUGCCCCACAUAUCAAAUAUUUCACAUACAAGAAUAGGGGUAAGUGGCAUUUGAUUUCUAUGACUUAAAUUACCAGUCUUUUGACAAUUCUCACACGACUUACAAAACAUGUAUGACAAUCCUCAAGCCGGGAAAGCUUGGAGGCGUGGACGGAGGCGAGGUUGGCCGAACCACGUAAAAAUCUCUAUGUUUGAAUCCCUCUUCCCUUAUCUUUUUAUAUUGUGAUCAACUUAAUUGUUAUUGCUUUGAAUUUGGAUUAUAUUUGCAUUAAGUUUUUCUUUAUAAAUUGAAUAGUUUUUAGAAUCCCAAUUCACCCCCCUCUUGGGUUGCAUACUUGUAUUUCAAUUGGUAUCAGAGCCUUGUUCUCUUGUUAAGACUUAAUCGUCUAGAGUAAAAGAUCCAUGGCAACCCUAAAUGACUCAACCUUUAGAGAAGGGCAAUCUACAACUUGACCACCAUUCUUUGAUGGAAAUGACUAUGCUUAUUGGAAAACUAGAAUGAGAAUCUACUUGCAAGCCUUAGAUUAUGAAAUUUGGGAAGUUGUUUGUGACGGUCCAUUCAUGCCUAUGUUUAAAGAUGAAGUAGGAGAUGAUAUUCCUAAACCAUCAAGUCAAUGGAGUGAGUUAGAAAAGAGAAAAAUGUCUCUAAACUCCAAGGCUAUGAAUCUUUGUUUUGUGCCCUUGAUAAGAAAGAAUUCCAUAGAGUAUCUAGUUGUGAAAGUGCACAAGAGAUAUGGAACAAACUUGAAGUUGUCUAUGAAGGGACAAAUCAAGUAAAAGAGUCUAAAAUCAGUAGAUACACUCGUCAAUAUGAGCUGUUCCAAAUGGAACAAAAUGAAAAUGUGUAUUCUAUGUAUACUAGAUUCACGGACAUAGUGAACACCCUAGGUGCCUUAGGGAAAACCUUCUUAAAUAGUGAGAAAGUUAAGAAAAUCAUUAGGUCACUUCCAAAAGAAUGGAGACCUAAAUGAACCGCCAUUGAAGAGGCCAAAGAUUUAAAUACUUUACCUCUUGAUGAUUUAAUUGGUUCUCUUAUUUCAUAUGAAGAGGAUUUAGCUGCAGAAAAAGGACAUGAGGAGAAGAAGAAAAGCAUUGCUCUCAAAGCUUCAAAAUAUGAGAGUGAUGGGGAAAGUGAACCGGAUGAUGAAGAGCUAGCCAUGCUAGCAAGGAGGUUCAGAAAAUUCUUCAAGAAAACCAGAGAGAGAAGAAAUUUCAGAAACUUCAAGAACUAUAGGGAGAAGAAGGAGGCAAUUACAUGCUAUGAAUGCAAGAAGCCUGGACAUAUAAGAUCGGAGUGCCCACUUAUCAACAAACUUAAGAAGAAAGCAAUGGUUGCAACUUGGGAUAAUAGUGAGGAAGAAUCAAGUGAUGAAGAAGGAUCGCAAGAAGUAUCAAACCUAGCACUCAUGGCAAUAGGAGGGGAUGAUGAUCUCAAUGAGGUAAGUGAUCCUACCUAUGAUGAAUUGUAUGAUGCUUUCAAAGAUUUGCAUAAUGAGUUAAUGAAGAUUGGUAAAAAGAACGUAUGUCUUAAAAAGGAAAUGGUAAAGCUUAAAAAUGAAAAUGAAUCUCUAAAUGCAAGAAUUGUAUGCCUAGAAGUAGGGAACAAAACAUUGCAUGAUGAAAUUGCAUUAUCAAAUGAGAAACCUAGCAUCUUACAUGAGCAUUUAGAAUCACACAUAGAUGAGUUGAAAAAUGAGAACGAAAUGCUCAAGAAAAAGAGUAAUGAAUUGAAUGAAAUUGUUUUGAAAUUUACAAAUGGGCAAAAGAUGUUGGAUAAUAUGCUUAACUCACAAAAAUGUGUUUUUGAUAAAGGAGGACUUGGGUAUAAGCCUAAUUUGAAGCAAAAGUAUUAUAAGAAUUAUUUUGUUAAAGCUACCUCCACAAAUGAUCAUAAGAUUGUAUGUUAUUAUUGUAAUCAAAAUGGUCACAUGAAAUAUAGAUGUCCCGUGAAAAGGAAUGCAUAUUAUGGUGUCAAAUGCAUUUGGGUUCCAAAAGGAACUGUUGCUAACUCUCAAGGACCCAAAAAGCUUUGGGUACCUAAAACUUGAGAUUUUUUCUUGUAGGGCUUGAAGAAGAAGAAAAAUAAAUGGUACUUGGACAGCGGUUGUUCAAGGCACAUGACCGGAAACUAUGCAUGGUUCUCAAGCUUCACCAAAAUUGAAAAUGGUGGAGACGUAUCUUUUGGAGACAACUCAAAAGGAAAAAUUCUUGGAAUUGGAAAUGUUGGUAAAGUCUCUUCAACUCUAAUUGAGAAUGUAUGUUUGGUUGAGAACUUGAAACACAACUUAAUUAGCAUUAGUCAAUUAUGUGACAAAGGUUAUAAAGUUAUCUUUGAUAAAUUUAGUUGUGUUAUUGAGAACUCAUGUGAUGGCAAAACCUUGUUUGUUGGUAAUAGAUGUGGUAAUGUUUAUACCAUUGACAUAGAAUGUGCAUCUACUCUUGAUAAAUGUUUUUCCGCAUUACAUGAUGAUAGUUGGCUAUGGCAUAGAAGAUUAGGACAUGCAAGUAUGGAUUUGAUUUUGAAAAUUUCGAAAAAUGAUUUAGUUAAAGGUCUUCCGAAAAUUGGUUUUCAAAAGGAUAAGAUUUGUGAAGCUUGUCAAUUUGGAAAAAAAUCAAAACCUCUUUCAAAAACAAAAACCAUAUCUCUACUUCAAAACCUCUUAAACUUCUUCACAUAGAUCUAUUUGGACCAUCUAGAUAUGCUAGUCUAAAUGGCAAAUAUCAUGCAUUUGUGAUAAUGGAUGAUUAUUCUAGAUAUACAUGGGUAUUAUUCUUAGCCAAUAAGGAUAAUGCUCUUGAUGCUUUUAAAGUGCUUUAUAAGAAAUUACAAAAUGAAAAAGGGUGUGACAUUAUAUGCAUUAGGAGUGAUCAUGGAGGAGAAUUUGAAAAUCAUGCAUUUGAGAACUUUUGCAAUAAUCUUGGCAUUGAGCAUCAAUUUUCAUCACCUAGGACUCCACAACAAAAUGGAGUUGUUGAGAGAAAGAAUAGGUCUAUUCAAGAAAUGGCUAGGACCAUGUUAAAUGAAAAUGCAUUACCUAAAUAUUUUUGGGCCGAAGCCGUCAACACCGCUUGCUAUGUUUUAAAUCGGGUGUUGAUUAGACCUCAUCUCAAUAAAACUCCCUAUGAGCUUUGAAAAGAUAGAAAACCCAACAUUGGCUAUUUCAAAGUUUUUGGAUGCAAAUGUUUUAUUUUAAACACAAAAGAUAAUCUUGGUAAAUUUGAUCCAAAAUCUGAUGUUGGCAUCUUUCUUGGGUAUUCAAACUCAAGUAAAGCUUAUAGAGUUUAUAAUAAAAGAACUUUAGUUGUGGAAGAAUCCAUGCAUGUUACGUUUGAUGAGUCUAAGCCCUUCUCUACGGAGAAAGGAGUUGCUAAUGAUGAUGCAGAUGGAGACUUACAAGAGGAAUCAUCAAAAGAGAUUCAAGAAAAUGCACCAUAAGAAAAUCAAGAGGAUAGACAAGAAGAACAAACCAAUACGGAGCUGGAGCAACAAGAAGGUAUUUCUCAAACACUCCCCAAGGAGUGGAGGUAUGUCUCUUCUCAUCCUAAAGAUGUAAUUUUAGGAGAUCCCUCACGAGGUGUUACAACUAGAUCAUCUCUUAAGAAUACUUGUGAGCAUAAUGCAUUUAUCUCUCAAAUUGAACCCAAAUCCUUUGCGGAUGCGGAAAAUGAUGAAUCUUGGAUUAUGGCAAUGCAAGAGGAGUUAAAUCAAUUUGAAAGAAACAAUGUGUGGGAAUUAGUUCCUAAACCGAAACAUCAAUCUGUCAUAGGCACUAAAUGGGUAUUUAGAAAUAAGAUAGAUGAAUCCGGGUUGGUUGUAAGAAAUAAAGCUAGAUUAGUGGCUCAAGGUUACAACCAAGAAGAAGGAAUUGAUUUUGAUGAAACUUUUGCACCUGUAGUAAGGUUAGAAUCCAUUAGGAUGUUGUUAGCAUAUGCAUGUCAGAAGGAUUUUAUUUUAUAUCAAAUGGAUGUCAAGAGUGCUUUCUUAAAUGGAUAUAUUAUGGAGGAAGUUUAUGUGAAACAACCUCCUGGUUUUGAAAAUGAAAAAUUUCCAAAUCAUGUUUAUAAGUUGCUUAAAGUCUUGUAUGGAUUAAAACAAGCACCUAGAGCAUGGUAUGAUAGACUUAAAAAUUUUUUGCUAGAAAAUGAUUUUUCUAUGGGUAAAGCGGAUACUACUCUAUUUGUUAAGCAUAAGAACCAAGACAUACUUAUUGUUCAAAUUUAUGUUGAUGAUAUUAUUUUUGGUUCUACUAAUGAGUUGUUGUGUAAAGAAUUUUCAUCGUGUAUGAGCAAAGAAUUUGAGAUGAGUAUGAUGGGAGAGUUGAAGUACUUCCUUGGACUUCAAAUCAAACAAAACGAGGAAGAAAUUUUCAUAAAUCAAGCCAAGUACAUAAAAGAUCUACUCAAACGAUUCGGCAUUGAUGACUCAAAGACCAAGAAUACACUAAUGAGCACAACAACCAAGCUGGACAAAGAUGAAAAAGGCAAAGAAGUUGAUAUCAAAAUGUAUCGAGGUAUGAUCGGAUCCCUACUUUAUUUGACUGCAAGUAGACCCGAUAUCAUGUUUAAUGUAUGUUUGUGUGCAAGAUUUCAGUCAUGUCCCAAGGAAUCUCAUUUGCUUGCUGUUAAAAGAAUUUUUCAUUAUUUGAGUGGAACCAUAGAUAUUGGCCUUUGGUAUCCUAGGGGAACUCAUAUAGAUUUAACAUGUUAUUCGGAUGCGGACUUUGCCGGUUAUAAAGUAGAUAGGAAGAGCACUAGUGGUACUUGCUAUAUUCUAGGACACUCUUUUGUUUCAUGGUUUAGCAAGAAACAAAAUUCUGUCGCAUUUUCAACUACCGAGGCUGAAUAUAUAGCUGCCGGAAGUUGUUGUGCACAAGCACUUUGGAUGAAACAAACACUUAGAGAUUAUGGCAUUAAUCUUGAACAAAUUCCUAUUAAGUGUGAUAAUACUAAUGCUAUAAAUCUUUCAAAGAAUCCCAUUCAACACUCUCGAACCAAGCAUAUAGAAAUAAGACAUCAUUUCUUGAGAGAUCAUGUUCAAAAGAGAGACAUUGCAUUAGAGUUUAUUUCUACGGAAAAACAACUUGCCGAUAUUUUUACAAAACCACUUUGUGAAGAACAAUUUUCCAAAAUUCGGCAUGAACUUGGGAUGAUGAAAUUUUCACAUUAACAUCUUCAUUCAUGCUAUUGAGUGUAUUAACAUUGAUUGAUCUAUGACUUGAUGCUUUAAUAUCUAUGAAAUGCUCAAUCGUAAUAUACAUGUGAUGUGUAUGUAUAAUUGAAAAUGUAUGAAUUAAUUUUGCAAUACAUAUAUAUGUUCAUGAAUUAUGCAUUGAAAUGGCACUCAAAUCAUUUUGGAUCAAUAAAAUGAUCUUGAAAUGUAUUAAUAAGUAGCCAAAUAUCAAAAUACAUGUGCAAAAUCAUAAAUUGUAGAAAACGGAUUGUCGUUAUUUCAAUAAACGGCUAACCGUUUUGGGCAGAAACAAUGGAAAGUUUUCUGGGCGCUAUCGGUUCGCCGAUAACUAUCUAUCGGCUCACCCUCCUAAUACAAAAUUUUGAGGAGACUCCCUAGACCCUAUCGGCUCGCCGUUUUGAUGAAAUAUUUUAGAGGACUCUCUGGACUCUGUCGGCUCGCCGUUUUGAUGAAAUAUUUUAGAGGACUCUCUGGACUCUGUCGGCUCGCCGUUUUCUUUAUAACGGCUCGCCGUUAUCACGCGUUAAUUGAACAGUCCUUCGUCUUCCUCCUCAUUUCAGUUUCUCUUUCUCUCUCCCUCUCACUCCAACCCGUGACUGCACCAGUUCUCUCCUCUCAAUUCCAUCACUUUUCUUGUCAUUUUUCACCAAAUUGAAGGAUUACAAAUCAUUUUCAUCAUCUCUAGCAUCUUUUAACCGAUUAAAAUUCUUCUUUUUCUUCAAAAUUUGAAAAAUCUCUUUUUAAAACCCUAGAACCAGCCGAACCUCAUUUGCUCAAAUUUGACCUAAAUUUCUUCCUUUUUCCAACCACAUUUCCACCCACAAUCACUCUCUCAUCUCUCAAACUUCAUUUCCCCCGAUCUAUUUUCCUUCUAACACAUCCAUGGCGGAACGACCACAAAGGCGUGCUCAAACCAAGCACACUGCUCCACGACGUUCUAGUCCACCCAGGUCUCCUCCUCAAGACUUCGAGAGUCUUCAUUUUUCCGAUGCCACCUCUGCUCAGCGAUUUCGUGAGAAAUUCAUGGGUAAACCCGUAACUCCCUCUUUUUCUCUUAACAUUUCGGAGUUUUCGGAUAUUACUGUUUGUGGUCACUCCAUUGCUCAAAUGCUUAGUCAUUGGAAGCAAGCUUUAAGUAUUGAAGAACCAAUUUAUGAAAAUCUAGUUCGAGUCUUUUAUUCUAACAUAGAAUUCCCCUCUACUCGUCGUGACGAGCUUCAUACAUAUGUAGGAGGAAUUCGCAUUGAACUUGAUGAACCCGAAUUAUGUAGUAUUCUAGGAAUAGCUUAUGGAGGUUUAGAUCUGUACACCGCUAGGAAAGAACUAUCUUUUAGUGAUUUUCGUCAUGUGGAUGGUGUACGGAACAUUUGUCGUCGUCGGGAUCUUUCCGAUGACAUCUGCUCUCUGUCCUUUAGGUCUCAACUCCUCCCUUUUCAGAUUCGAAUACUUCACAUUAUUCUCCAACACAUGGUCACUCCUAGACAGGGUCACACUGAUGAGGUCACUAGGCUUGAUACUGGUCUAUUAAAUUCUCUUAUCCGUAGACGCCAUGUGAGCUUAUCCUACACUAUUCUGUGUCAUAUGAUGUCCACUCCUAAAGUCUCCAAUCGAUCUCUUCUUUAUGGCAGCAUCAUUACUAAAAUCUUGAACCACUUUCGAGUUCCUAUCAUCGAGCCUGUUUUUCUCGAGACUCGUAAGCUCGGACGAGAAAUUAUUUCUGCCAUCGGAUUCUUUAAGAAGCGUGGGAAAUGGGAGAAGACCACAUCCUCUAAAAACCCAGAGGAUGAUCGUAUGUUGAAUGAUGUCUACUCCGAGGAUGAGUUACCUGAUUUCUGCCUUGGGGCUAGACCGCAUGUUCCUCGCCGAGCAACAGCUGCAUCUUAGGAUGACGAGCCUACCGAGACUGCCGUCCCUCCUGCAGCAUCGGCUGUUCCUGAGGAUCGCUUCCAGCAGCUUCUCAACAGAGUGGAUACUCUGUCCCAGCAGCAGCAGCUUCGAUAUGAUUUUGCAACCUUUCGGAAGCAAAUUUCAAAUCAGCAGAUGGAGUUACUUGCGGGCCAGCAUCGCAUUCUCGACUACUUUGGAUAUGACCCCGGCAGCUCGUCUUCACAGCCUCCAUCUUAGCUUUUCUGCCCCUCUGAUAUUCGCACAGACAUUUCUCAUUUCAUGUUAUUUGCCUUAUGCAUAUGAUGUUAUUUGUUUUGUGUUUAUGCUUCUGAUAUCUCAUGUUAGACAUGUGCACUUGAUUUAUGUUUGAGUUGGCCUUGGUAUUAUAUUGUUUAUCUUGCUCAUUAUGGAAGUGUGAAAUUGUUGGUAUGGAGAUUGGUUGAUAUGGUGGCAUAUUUAUAUGGAAGUGUUUUUUUCUUUUUAACUCUGUGUAUUGUUGAGGUAAUGCUUAUAUUUAAGGGGAGAUUCGGCCAAAGUUUUUUCAAGCAUAAGUCAUUCCUCAUGCCUCUUUCUUUUUUAUGAUGAAGGGGGAGAUAAUUGGCAUUGGCAUAAAAUUAUUUAUUUCUUCCAAUCAAUCUGUUUUAAACUUGUUUGAGAUUAAAGUUAAAUGAAUUUUUUAAGGGAGAUUAACAAGUCUUUCAAAAUCUCACUUAGGGAGAGCUCAUAUUUAGGGGGAGCAAAAUUACACAAGUAUUUUCUUGAAAAGUUUGUCAUCAUCAAAAAGGGGGAGAUUGCUAACAUAAAUAAUUCCUUAUUGAUUUUGAUGAUAACAAACAUGAUUAAGUUUGAUAAAUCUUUUGAGGACUCAACAUAUUUUUUCAUCUAUUUUUGACAAGUUUCAUAAAGUAUUGUUUAUAAAGAUUUGGAGUCAAAACAGUCAUCUUGCAAAAUAGAUCACUACAGCAAUUUUUGUGGAAAGCGGCGAUCCGAUAUGUGUAAUAAACAGCUCACCGAUUUCAAGCAGAAAUGGAGAUUAGCCUCUGGACGUAAACGGCACACCGACAUGUGUGAUAAACGGCUCGCCGAUAUCAACCAGUAGCCUCUGGACCUAAACGGCGAACCGAUAUGUUGCUAAACGGCUCGCUGAUAUCAACCAAAACUAAAGGGUAGUCUCUGGACCUAAACGGCGAACCGACAUGUGUGAUAAACAGCUCGCCGAUAUCAACCAGUAGCCUCUGGACCUAAACGGCGAUCUGACAAUUUGAAAAAUCAGCCCAACGGUCAUAUUGAUCAGUCAAACGGCGAUCCGACAUCUAGCUAACGGCGAUCCGUCCGUGUGCAGAAAGUUAAUAACGGCUAGUUUUCAACAGCAGCUAUAAAUAAGCUCAUUCAAAUUCAAACAAAAGCUUAUCACAACACGACUACUGAGCAUAUAAUUGAGAGUACAAUCUUCAUUGAGCUAUUAAAAUACAUUCUUGCUUCAUCUAUCUAUAUAUUGGGUAUCAUUGUGUAAUUUUAUAUAUUGUGAGAGGCAAAACAAUUUGUAAUCUUUUACUUUGAGUGAUUGUAAGUGUUGGGAUACACUUGGGUUAAGAGAUUGGGGAUAAUCUCUUGUUGUAAAGGUUUAUUGACACCUUGGAAGUCAAGUGUAAGCAUUUGAAGCCUUGGAGGCUUGCUUAGUGGAAUCCUCAAGCCUGGAAAGCUUGGAGGCAUGGACGUAGGCGAGGUUGGCCGAACCACGUAAAAAUCUCUGUGUUUGAAUCCCUCUUCCCUUAUCUUUUUAUAUUGUGAUCAACUUAAUUGUUAUUGCUUUAAAUUUGGAUUAUAUUUGCAUUAAGUUUUUCUUUAUAAAUUGAAUAAUUUUUAGAAUCCCAAUUCACCCCCCUCUUGGGUUGCAUACUUGUAUUUCAAGGACAUGUGAAGGUAGUCUUCUCCUGAUCCUCAGGCGCAACUGGUAUCUGAUGAAAACCUAAAUAGCUAUUAAGACAACAAAAGUGAGAUUUUCCUGCUAACCUUUCAAGCAUCUGAUCAAUAAAAGGAAUAGGAAAAUGAUCCUUUCUAGUAAGUGAAUUAAGCUUUCUAAAAUCAAUACAAACCCUCCACCCAUUCUGAACUCGGGUAGGUACUAACUCACCAUAAGAAUUCUCAAUAAUUGUUAUAUCAGUUUUCUUCGGUACUACUUGUACCAGACUUACCCAUUUGCUAUCCGAAAUUGGAUAGAUUAUACCUGCAUCAAGAAGUUUUAGAAUUUCUUUCUUCACUACUUCCAUUAUGAGUGGAUUCAAACGGAGUUGAGCUUGAAUUGAAGGUUUGGCAUCUUCCUUCAGCAGUAUUCUAUGCAUGCACGUAGACGGACUUAUCCUUUUAAUAUCUGCAAUUGUCCACCCAAUAGCCUUUUUGUAAUCCUUCAGCACUCUAAUAAGUUUCUCUUCCUCUAAAGUACUAAGCUUUGAAGAGAUGAUCACCGGAAGUGUCUCAUCCUCUCCUAGAAACAUGUACUUUAGAUAACUCGGCAAUGGUUUAAGCUUUAUUUUCGGUGCCUACAAAAUAGAUGGAAGAAGUUUUGCAUGAGAUGAAGGUAAUUCAAUAUUAGACAUAUGAUGAGUUAAAGUUCUCAAAGAAUUUAAUUCAUAAAUUGUCUCUUGCAAUAAAAUUUAAAACAAACUCAUUUUCAUCCUUUUGCAAUCUUUCGAGGCCCAAACUGUUAUUUAAAGCAGCUACCAAUGAAUCUUCAACAUUCAAAUAAAAAACUUCCUGCACUAUAGGGUUAAUAACAUCCAUAGAAAAUACCGAAUAUUCCUCACUGGGAUAUUUCAGGGCAUCAUACAUAUUGAAUUCUAUAACCUCUCCAUCAAACUCCAUAGUAAAAGUCCCUUUAUGUAUAUCCAUUUUAGUUCUAGCAGUCUUAAGAAAAGGUUUUCCUAGCAAAAUUGGGACAUAAUUAGAGGAGUUAUCCUGUUCCAUAUCAAGUACAUAAAAAUCAGCAGGAAAAACCAACUUAUUAACUUGUACUAAGACAUCCUCUAAUACCCCAUCACCAUAUGUAGUAGACCUAUCAGCUAGUUGAAUUAUCACGCCAAUUUCUUUUAAUGCACCAACAUUUAAAGAUGAAUAAAUAGAAUGAGGCAUGACAUUAAUAGAAGCUCCUAGAUCUAACAUAGCCUUUUCAACUCUAACACUACCAAUUUUGCAAGGAAUAGUAAACAUACCUGGAUCCUUGCACUUAGGAGGUAGUUUCUUUUAGAGAACUGCGGAAACAUUCACUCCCAUGUGAACUCUUUCAUCUCCUCUUAAUUUUCUCUUGGAGGUGCAUAGUUCCUUAAGGAAUUUAGCAUAUCGAGGUAUUUGUUUUAUAGCAUCUAAUAAGGGAAUAUUUACCUCAACCUUGCGAAAUGUCUCAAGGUUGUCUUUCUCUUGUUCCUCCUUCUUGGAUUUUGCAAACCGACUUGGAAAAGGAGGAGGUAUCACAAUAGGUAGGGGUUUCGCUCUGGUGGGUUGCGCAUCUUGAGAUUUAGGCAUCAAUUCAUUCUUCUCAAGCUCAUCUUCUACAUGCUUUGUCACUUUCUUACUAGGCUCUUGCAACUCCUUCCUACUUCUAAGGAUGAUGGCACUAGCAUUUUACUUUGGAUUCACCUCAGAUUGUGAAAGCAACCUCCCUGAUACUUGAGACUCUAGACGGCUCAUCGUAGUUGCCAAUUGACUCACUUGGCUCUCCAAAUUCUGAAUGCUUGUUGUGGUUGGCUACUGAAAUUGUUGAGCGUUAGUCGCAAGUGAUUUAACAAUUUCUUCAAGAGAUAUACCUGACUUGGAGUUUGAUUGUGGAGGUGCUGGUUGUCUUGGUGGAUAUUGUUGUAGGAAUCCUGACGGCCUAACUCCAUAGCUGAAGUUGGGGUGAUCCUUCCAUCCCGGAUUGUAUGUUUGUGCAUGAGGAUCAUACCUCCUCUGAGGCAUGCCUGGAAAUCCUCCAACUGCAUUGGCUUGUUCAACGGGUUCUUCUUGAAGUGUAGGAUACAUAUCAGUUGAAUGACCUAUAUUGGAACAAAUGCCACAAGUCUUUACCUGUUGCACAUUACCUAAAACAAACUUUUCCAUAAGAGAAGUAAGUUUAUCUAAACGUUGUUCAACAGAAGAAAUAUUUACCUCAUUCACCAUUCUUGAAGUGGCGUCUUGCCUGCUGCCAAAUGAUUGUGCAUUGGCAGCCAUAUUUGAGAUCAACUCCCUUACUUGAGUUAGAGUCUUGUUCACCAACACACCUCCACUAGCAGUAUCUAUCAUACUCCUAUUCAUUAAUGACAGUCCUUCGUAAAAAUAUUGAAUAAGAAGUUGAUCAGAAAUCUAAUACUGAGGACAGCUGGCACACAAUUGUUUGAAUCGCUCCCAAUACUCAUACAAAGUCUCCCCAGGAAGUUGUCUAAUCCCACAAAUAUCUUUUCUGAUGUUGGCAACUCUUGAAGCAGGAAAGUACUUCUCGAGGAACUGCUUCUUCAAACCAUUCCAUGUUGUAAUCGAUCCAGGAGGCAAGUAGUACAACCAGUCUUUAGCUAGUCCAUCUAAAGAGAAAGGAAAAGCACGCAACUUAAUCUGCUCUUCAGUCACGCCUUGUGGUCUCAUACUUGAACAUACAACAUGAAACUCCUCGAGAUGUUUAUGAGGAUCUUCACUUGCAAAACCAUGAAACUUGGGUAAUAAAUGAAUAAGACCAGACUUUAAUUCAAAAUUUACCUCCAAAUCUACAUAUUGAAUGUAGAGUGGUUGCUGAUUCAAGUCUAGUUCAGCUAACUCUCUAAGAGUUCUUUCUACAGGUGCAGCUCUAUCCAUCACUUGUUCUUCUGAAUCGCUAGAUGAUUAAACAAAAUCAGGCACCGUAUCUGUUUCAGAAAGCAAAGGUGACGAGGAUCGUUGCUUAGCUCGCUUCGUCUGCUGUCUCAGCUGGCUAGCUGUCUUCUCAAUUUGAGGAUCAAACGAAAGUGUACCUGUACGAGAAGAACGAACCAUACACUAAGUAAAACGUAAAAAGGAUUAAAUAAAUUACACCAAUCUCUGGCAACGGCGCCAAAAUUUGAUGGUUGUCGAAGCCAACAAAAAUAAAUACCUACUCUAAAUAAAUUGUGUAUAGUGAUUGAGCAGGGUCGUGUCCACAGAGAUCGGUAAUUAUUUAAAUCCUUUGAAACGUAAAACGUAAAAUGGAGGAAUUGUUGACAUUAAUAAAAAUCAAAUUAAAAUAACAAGAAUGCAAAUUAAAGUUGUAAUUCAAAUUAGAGAAAGCUCUGGUUGAAGGAAUUAACUCAGCUUGAUUCGACUACUGAUCAUUAAUUCAAAUAUAGAUUAUUAUUACUUAUGAAUAGACCGGUUAUAGCUACUGAGACCCUCUAAUAGCCAAUCUCUCCUGAACUAGUCGAUAACCAAGGUAUGACCGUUGGUUAUUUCCCUAAUCAAUAGACAACCCCAGAUAUGAUCAUAGGAUUUAAUCAAUUGACAGCCUGAAAGACUAUAGAGACCCAAAUCCUAAUCAACACAUCCGAUGAUUCAUUUAAAUUAGAUUGUUUAUUCUCAUAACACAACUCACUGCUAUGUUAUUUGUCACAAACAUUAAAAUCUUCCUACGAUGAAUCCUUUAAUUGACAAUAGAUUAAAUUGAUAAUUAAAUAGUGGCCAAUUACGUAAUUAACAAACAUAAUCAUGAAAAUAAUUCAGAGAAUAAACAAAUACUCAAAAAGCAAUAAAACAAUUAAAGCAUAAGAAAGAACUCACAGUAGUGAUGAAUCAAAGCUUCAUUAUCCUUCAACCAGAAAAAUAGGUUUAGUUCUUCAUAGAGAGAAGAUAAAAGUUUAGAUCUAGGGUUUCUUUCUUUUUCUCCAAUCUCCCCUUUUUUUCACAAUAGAUUCCUCCCUUAAAUACUCUCUAUCUCUUCUCUUUUAUACUUCUAUUUAAAAUAAAAUACUAAUAUCUGAAAUAUUAAAUUCGUAAUUACACAAAUAACCAAAAAUACAAAACACGUUAAACUAAAAACUGCAGGUCCGCAGUUGACAGCAUGCGCCCACGCCUUAUCAAUAAAGUUCUUUUGACGCUCAUAAUUUCUCCAAGAAAAUAAUCAUCCUUAAACAUCAUCUUAUAGCUCAAUUUUAUCACCAAUCAAUAGAAUUGCAUCUGUAAAAGUAAAACACAAGUAAAUAACUAUUAUUAAGUGCAAAACAUCGAUAUUAAGGGAAGUAAACAAUGAAAACUAGUGCAUAAGUUGCACUCUAACAAAUUCCCCCACUCCAAGAUGAUGCUUGUCUUCAAGCAUAUAACUCAAGAUUAAUCCCAAAUCUCCACUCAAUUCUCAUCUCAACUCAUCCAAAAAUAAUUUUAAGUAAGCAUACCUCAAGAAAUUAAGUCGAUCAACAUUCGAGAGACAAGGAUUUUUAAAGCAUAGAAUCUCAUAAGAUAGAAUAAGAACAUUCAACCACCAAGAAGAUCCAUUCAAAAUUCAAGUGCAACAAGAUUUAAUAGCCCUCUCAAUGACUUCACUCCAUGCACUCAAAGUGUUUAGGGUAUCAUUUAUACACUCAAAUCAAAUCAAAGAAUGCUAUUACCAUAAGCUUGCUCAUAUAUCACAUCUCAAUCCACAAAAUAUGAAUAAAAUGAAAAAUCUAAGGGUCUUAAAAAGGUUGUAAUGGGGUUAAAUAGGUUAAAUGAAAAUGAAAGGUCUACGAAAGAAAAAGAGAUCAAAAUGAGAAUAAUGAACUCAUUGAAUGAACUUAUGAUAUUAAAAUGCUUAUUUCUAUUCAAGUCACCAAGAAUGUAAACAUUUUUUUUCGAUCUUUUUUUUUUCUUUUUCUUUUUCUUUUUUUUUUUUUUUUUUUUUUUUUUUUUUUUUUUUUCUUUUUUUUUCUUUUUCUUUUUCUUUUUUUCUUUUUUUUUGUUUUUUUUUUCGAAUCAAACAAAAGAAACGAACCUUGCACAAUUUAAUUCAAGCAUAAUGCUUGUUGAUCUAAUUGAGAAACUUUAAUACAAGGUAGAAAAAGCAACAAAAUAUAUCCACACAAUGAGUCCAAAAAUCUCCUUAAAUUGAGGCUCAAAAAGAAGAAAAAUGGUUAAGUAGACGGAGAGAAUUAGAUGGGUAAUGGUUAAGGCUCAAACAAAGAUAGCAAAUAAAGGUCUUCGGGUAGAGAAAAAAAAACGCGAGAAUAGAAAAAUGGAAAAGGGUUUGCCCUUAUCAUUUUAAUGCAUAAAAUGCCAUAAUGUGGCUUUAACAUGCAUAACAAAGCAAGUUCUAGAAUAAACAAACUAAGAUUGAUAUUCACAUAACAAAAAUAUUAGAGCAAAGUGGUUGCUCAUAGGCUCAAAUCCUCAUAAAGUUGGUAAAUUUGCCAUCAAAUCAUGUACACUCUUCAAAUGAAUCAACCAUCAAUAGUGGUAUAGAAUGAGAAGAAGGUAUAAGUGAUAUAUAAAAGGAAAGGUAAAAAUGAUAAGAAGUGAGAAAGAUGUAUGUAGUAAUAUGAAAAGUGAAAGAUAAAAUGUGAGUGAUGAUAGAGUAUGAUAGAAUAAAAAUAGAUGUAAAUAAUUUGAUAUAGAUGGGAAAAGAGUAGUGAGAAAGAAAAGAAAAGAAAAAAUAAUAUAUGAAGCAUACUAACUCCAAAAUCAUUUAAGGAUGAGUAGAGUGAAAAUACUACUUCCAGACAUCAAUAAUGCAAAAAUCCCUCCCCCACACCAAGAACUUACAUUGUCCCUAAUGUAAGAUAAUCAAAGCUCACAUAAAAAUUAAAGCGUAAGGAUAAAAGAUUAAAGACAAAAAAAACUUUCCUGAAUUGUGAGCUUUGAUCCACAUAACGUCCAUGGGCUUGGGGGAAAUGGUGGGAUAAAUCCCACACUCUCGAAGCAAUCAAUAAUGGUAUUAAUUCUUGAACCAGUGGAAAGCAAUUAAUUUUCUUCAUUUGUUUUCUUGCUUGGCUGUGAAACAGCCCAUUUGCGGCUGAACACAGAAUCUGUUUUUUGUUUCUUUGUUGUUUUUUGUGAAUAUUUGGCUUAAUUUACAAUUCAUGGCAUGUCUGAAAAUGGGUCGAUGAAUCUGUUAAAAAUUGGACUCAGAUCUAAAUCAGAUUUAUCCAUGAUACAAUCAAGAGGAUUCAACAUUUGAUUUUUAUUUUUCUUUUCGCCACCCCCGUAUGUAAUUUUGGUUGGAGGACUUGGUUGUUAGGAAUUGACAACUACUGAAUUUUUUUUUUCCUUUAAACAACAGAGGCCGCAAUUUCAAUUUGAAGACUUCGUUUAUAAGAAUUGACAAUGGUUGAUUCUUUAAAUAGAAGAUGCCUUGGAAUUCCGCGUCGUUGACAUGUAGUUGAUAUUUAAAACAUAUUGGAUGUUAGGGCUUAGAAUGUUUGAGGUCGGAAUUCUUAUUAAGAAAAUUCCUCUGCUGCUUGCAACAUAAUCGAAGCUGUAAGUCCUAUGCUAUGCAGUUCUCUUUAUUUUCAUUUUUGUUUUUGAAUUUUCAGAAUUAAUAUGAAGAAAAACAUCAUUUAUUUCCAAAACAGAACCAUUAUCAAGUUUCAUAUUUUUGUACAGGUAAACUUUGGUCUUUGAGAAAUAUUUGCGUCUACAACUCUUGAUUAAUUUUAGUUUUAGUUUAGUUUAGUUUUAUUUUUUUUCCCCUAAGGUGGAGAUGAGAUGAGAAACCUCAUUCACUAAAAACCAAAAACUUAGUUUUGUAAAGUUUUAUUUUUUUCCCCCUAAUGCUGGUGGUCUUCCAUUAGCUCUGAAGGUUCUGGGCUCAUUUUUGUUUGGUAGAACUAUAGCUGAACAGGAAAGUGCACUACAAUGACUACAAAGAGGUCCUGAAAGUGAGAUUCUUCAUGUACUUCAAAUAAGUUUUGAUGGGUCAAAAGAAAAAGAAAAAAGAAUAUUUCUCAAUAUUGCAUGUUUCUAUGAGGGAAGUAUAGAGAUUAUAAGGGUGUUCAGAAUCUAAUCCGAUCCGCUCAAUCCGAUCCGUAUAAAUCCGAUCUGUGGAUUGGUGGAUUGGAUAUGGAUUGAAAAUUUAAAAAUCCGCAGUCGAUGGAUUGGAUAUGGAUUUACUUAUGUAAAUCCGCAAAAAUACGUGAAUCCGUCAAUAUAUAUAUAUAUAUAUAUAAUUUAAUUUAAAAAAUUAUAAAUGUGAGAUUACAUAGUUACAUAAGCACUAUAACAUAUCUUAGCCAUUACCUAAUAAUAAUAUAAAAUGAAAAAUAAUUAAAUAAUCAAAUACACAAAUAUAACUUGUAAAAAUUGUAAAACAAAAUAAAAACAAAGUCACAUGUACUAGCAAAAGUAAAGUAACAUAACGCCAAGUCACCAACAAUUUGCAAAGUCACCCAAAAACAAAAUAAUAUGACGCCAAGUCACUAACAAUUUGCAAAGUCACCCAAAAAUAAAGUAACAUGACGCCAAGUCAUCAACAAUUUGCAAACAAAAAACCCUAAGCUUCCAUGCCGUCACACACACUAGCAACACUCAAUACUGGUUGGAUAUACUCUCGACACAGAUUUGAAGGACAUCGGCCGCGCGAUUCCGGCAAGAGCAAGCCAUCUUCUUUCCCAAGUCCAUCGAGCCACUUCACAUUCACUGGUUCCAGCUGAACAAUUGCACUAUCACAACCUUCAAGAUCGCCACCCGUACAGCUUCUCCUGGUUCCCAUCAUGGACGGCUCCGUAAUCACCACUUUUCGACAAGCGCAUCAGCCCUGGUAAAGGAUCAGAUUGUGUUUGGUUUCUAAAACUUCGCCAUUUCAAUUAAUUGUGGCUUUAUUUGAAUAAUUAAUUUCGGUGUUAUAUUAACAUAUUAUUGUAACUUUAUUUGAACAAUUAAGCUUGGUGUGUUAUAUUUUGAAACUUUGAACGUGUUGUUGUAGCUUUAUUUGAAUAAUUAGUCUCGAUAUGUUAUAUUUUAAAAUUUUAAAUGUAUUAUUUUAGGUUUAUUUAAACAAUUAAUUUAUUUAAAUUUUAUUCAAUUUUAAAUUUAAUUGGUAGCAAAAUUAUUUUUAUAUUAGUUUUUUUUAUUUCAUUAGUUGGAGAGAACUAAAAAUUUUUAAUUCGAAAACUAAUGCACAAAAUGAUGGAUUGAAUAUGGAUUGAGUCAAAUCUGUAUUCAAUCCGUAGACGUGUGGAUUGGAUAUGAAUUGAGUCAAAUCCGCAUCUGAUCUGCAGAUAUAUGGAUUAGAUUUGGAUUGAAUUUUAUCAAUCCAUGGAUUGGAUUGGAUUGAAAAAUUAUAAUUCACAAAAUGAUGGAUCGGAUAUGGAUCAAUGUCCAAUCUGUAAAAUCCGAUCCGCGAACAGCCCUAAGAGAUUAUGUGAAAAAAAAUCUCAAAUAUUGUGAUUUUGACCCAAUUAUCAAAAUUGUUGGUCCUAUUGAAAAACCUCUAUUAACCGUAGAUGAUUUCAGCGGACUGUGGAU
rnacentral:lncRNA from 1 species